rnacentral:rRNA from 1 species
UCCUACGGGAGGCAGCAGUGGGGGAUAUUGCACAAUGGGGGAAACCCUGAUGCAGCGACGCCGCGUGGGUGAAGAAGCGCCUCGGCGCGUAAAGCCCUGUCAGCAGGGAAGAAAAUGACGGUACCUGAAGAAGAAGCCCCGGCUAACUACGUGCCAGCAGCCGCGGUAAUACGUAGGGGGCAAGCGUUAUCCGGAUUUACUGGGUGUAAAGGGAGCGUAGACGGCCAUGCAAGCCAGGGGUGAAAGCCCGGGGCCCAACCCCGGGACUGCCCUUGGAACUGUGCGGCUAGAGUGCGGGAGGGGCG